ACGGGUGAGUAACACGUGGGUAACCUACCUAUAAGACUGGGAUAACUUCGGGAAACCGGAGCUAAUACCGGAUAACAUUUGGAACCGCAUGGUUCUAAAGUGAAAGAUGGUUUUGCUAUCACUUAUAGAUGGACCCGCGCCGUAUUAGCUAGUUGGUAAGGUAACGGCUUACCAAGGCAACGAUACGUAGCCGACCUGAGAGGGUGAUCGGCCACACUGGAACUGAGACACGGUCCAGACUCCUACGGGAGGCAGCAGUAGGGAAUCUUCCGCAAUGGGCGAAAGCCUGACGGAGCAACGCCGCGUGAGUGAUGAAGGGUUUCGGCUCGUAAAACUCUGUUAUUAGGGAAGAACAAAUGUGUAAGUAACUGUGCACGUCUUGACGGUA
rnacentral:rRNA from 1 species